GACGAACGCUGGCGGCGUGCUUAACACAUGCAAGUCGAACGGAAAGGCCCUGCUUUUGUGGGUUGCUCGAGUGGCGAACGGGUGAGUAACACGUGAGUAACCUGCCCUUGACUUUGGGAUAACUUCAGGAAACUGGGGCUAAUACCGGAUAGGAGCUCCUGCUGCAUGGUGGGGGUUGGAAAGUUUCGGCGGUUGGGGAUGGACUCGCGGCUUAUCAGCUUGUUGGUGGGGUAGUGGCUUACCAAGGCUUUGACGGGUAGCCGGCCUGAGAGGGUGACCGGCCACAUUGGGACUGAGAUACGGCCCAGACUCCUACGGGAGGCAGCAGUGGGGAAUAUUGCACAAUGGGCGGAAGCCUGAUGCAGCAACGCCGCGUGCGGGAUGACGGCCUUCGGGUUGUAAACCGCUUUCGCCUGUGACGAAGCGUGAGUGACGGUAAUGGGUAAAGAAGCACCGGCUAACUACGUG
rnacentral:rRNA from 1 species